UUCUACAAGGAACAGAUCACUCAACUAGAGAAGAAGAAUGAGGAAUGCUUCAAGACGUCUGCUGAACAGUUCCACACCGCUGCAACCAGGAGCGAAGCCAAUAUAAAGCAACGUAAUGUGGAUCCGGUGUGUCCUGAACUGCUAUCAAG